GAGAAAGACAUAAGGGUUAUGGGAUUGGCUUGAAACCAGUUUAGGGGGGUUCGAUUCCUUCCUUUCUUA
rnacentral:tRNA from 1 species